GUGGGCGCGUUGCUAAAAAUGCAAGUCGGAUGUGCCGCAAGGUGCAUGGCAGACGGGUGAGUAACGCGUGGGGAACCUACCUCUUUGUGGGGAAUAACGUUCCGAAAGGAAUGGUAAUACCGCAUGAGACCGAUGGCUGGGAUGCUGUCGGUGAAACCCAGGGACCGCAAGGCCUGGGGCAAGGAGAGGGUCCUGCGUCUGAUUAGCUAGUUGGCGGGGUAACGGCCCACCAAGGCGUCGAUCAGUAGCCGGCCUGAGAGGGUGAUCGGCCACACUGGAACUGAGACACGGUCCAGACUCCUACGGGAGGCAGCAGUGGGGAAUUUUGCGCAAUGGGCGAAAGCCUGACGCAGCAACGCCGCGUGGGUGAUGAAGGUCUUCGGAUCGUAAAACCCUGUCGUCAGGGACGAAGGUUGUAUGUCUAAUAGAUGUGCAGCUUGACGGUACCUGGAGAGGAAGCCCCGGCUAACUCUGUGCCAGCAGCCGCGGUAAUACAGAGGGGGCAAGCGUUAUUCGGAAUUAUUGGGCGUAAAGGGCGCGUAGGCGGUGUUUUAAGUGAGAUGUGUAAUCCCCGAGCUUAACUUGGGAACUGCAUCUCAGACUGGGACGCUAGAGUGCUGGAGAGGGUGGUAGAAUUCCACGUGUAGCGGUGAAAUGCGUAGAGAUGUGGAGGAAUACCAGUGGCGAAGGCGGCCACCUGGACAGUAACUGACGCUGAGGCGCGAAAGUGUGGGGAGCAAACAGGAUUAGAUACCCUGGUAGUCCACGCUGUAACGAUGAACACUUGGGUGUGGUGGGAGUUGACCCCCCGCCCGUGCCGUAGCUAACGCGAAUAAGUGUUUCCCGCCCUGGGGGGGAGU
rnacentral:rRNA from 1 species